AUACGUAGGGUGCGAGCGUUGUCCGGAAUUAUUGGGCGUAAAGAGCUCGUAGGCGGUGUGUCACGUCGGCCGUGAAAACCUGGGGCUUAACUCUGGGCGUGCGGUCGAUACGGGCAUCACUAGAGUUCGGCAGGGGAGACUGGAAUUCCUGGUGUAGCGGUGAAAUGCGCAGAUAUCAGGAGGAACACCGGUGGCGAAGGCGGGUCUCUGGGCCGAUACUGACGCUGAGGAGCGAAAGCAUGGGUAGCGAACAGGAUUAGAUACCCUGGUAGUCCAUGCCGUAAACGUUGGGCGCUAGGUGUGGGGUCCAUUCCACGGGUUCCGUGCCGCAGCUAACGCAUUAAGCGCCCCGCCUGGGGAGUACGGCCGCAAGGCUAAA
rnacentral:rRNA from 1 species